rnacentral:rRNA from 1 species
UGAGGAAUAUUGGUCAAUGGACGAGAGUCUGAACCAGCCAAGUAGCGUGAAGGAUGACUGCCCUAUGGGUUGUAAACUUCUUUUAUAUGGGAAUAAAGUAUUCCACGUGUGGGAUUUUGUAUGUACCAUAUGAAUAAGGAUCGGCUAACUCCGUGCCAGCAGCCGCGGUAAUACGGAGGAUCCGAGCGUUAUCCGGAUUUAUUGGGUUUAAAGGGAGCGUAGGUGGAUUGUUAAGUCAGUCGUGAAAGUUUGCGGCUCAACCGUAAAAUUGCAGUUGAAACUGGCAGUCUUGAGUACAGUAGAGGUGGGCGGAAUUCGUGGUGUAGCGGUGAAAUGCUUAGAUAUCACGAAGAACUCCGAUUGCGAAGGCAGCUCACUAGACUGCAACUGACACUGAUGCUCGAAAGUGUGGGUAUCAAACAGG